rnacentral:tRNA from 1 species
CAGAAGGUAGUUUAGUUUAGAAUUCCGGCUUUGGGAGUCGGGGGUGCGAGUUAAAAUCUCACCUUUCUGG